UACGUAGGGUGCGAGCGUUAAUCGGAAUUACUGGGCGUAAAGCGUGCGCAGGCGGUUUUGUAAGCCAGAUGUGAAAGCCCCGGGCUUAACCUGGGAAUGGCAUUUGGGACUGCAAGGCUCGAGUGCGGCAGAGGAGACUGGAAUUCCUGGUGUAGCAGUGAAAUGCGUAGAUAUCAGGAGGAAUACCGAUGGCGAAGGCAGGUCUCUGGGCUGACACUGACGCUCAUGCACGAAAGCGUGGGGAGCGAACAGG
rnacentral:rRNA from 1 species